rnacentral:ribozyme from 1 species
UAAGGGCAUCUUGGGUAUGGAGAACGAUCACGAAGCACAGGGUGCAGCCAUUGAGCCCGCCACAUCUCCCCCUUUCCAGACUGAAGUAUAAGCCAAUUGCAUAUGCUUCUCUCUUCUUCGUUUC